rnacentral:lncRNA from 1 species
GAGACGAGAUUUGUAAUCAGAAGAAUCAUCAGAAGCCAACCUGUACAACCCUCUCAUCUUACUGAUGAGGAAACUGAGACCCAGGGAGGCUAAUUAAAUUGACCACAAUCACACAGAACAAAGAAAAAAGAAAACAACAACAAUCCCAUCCUUGAAGGAGUGAAUAACCUUACUUAGGAGAUGAGACUAAAAUACAGAAAUAUAUAUUUAUCUAUGUAUGUACACAUAUGUGAAUAAAUAUAUACAUUUGCAAUUGAGGAUCAUAUACAGGAUUGUCAAGCUUAAAGAAAUGAUCUUC